rnacentral:rRNA from 1 species
GACGAACGCUGGCGGCGUGCUUAACACAUGCAAGUCGAAUGGAAGGGCCCUGCUUUUGUGGGGUGCUCGAGUGGCGAACGGGUGAGUAACACGUGAGUAACCUGCCCUUGACUUUGGGAUAACUUCAGGAAACUGGGGCUAAUACCGGAUAGGAGCUCCUGCUGCAUGGUGGGGGUUGGAAAGUUUCGGCGGUUGGGGAUGGACUCGCGGCUUAUCAGCUUGUUGGUGGGGUAGUGGCUUACCAAGGCUUUGACGGGUAGCCGGCCUGAGAGGGUGACCGGCCACAUUGGGACUGAGAUACGGCCCAGACUCCUACGGGAGGCAGCAGUGGGGAAUAUUGCACAAUGGGCGGAAGCCUGAUGCAGCAACGCCGCGUGCGGGAUGACGGCCUUCGGGUUGUAAACCGCUUUCGCCUGUGACGAAGCGUGAGUGACGGUAAUGGGUAAAGAAGCACCGGCUAACUACGUG